CCAAAGCAGCCUUUGAUUCACCAUUUUGGGUUCAAAUGGAUUCAUGAGCAAUCCGACUUGUCCCACAUCGCUAUUUUUCCUCAAACCCAACAUUUGGGGUUCUAUAAAUAGAACCUUCUCUCUUCAUUCUGGGAGGAUAAGUUUUUAAACCCCCAAGUUCUGAACUCUUCAAUUUUCAGCUUUAGACAAGAAAUUUCCUCUUGUAAGCUAAGUUUUUGAAUCAUCGGAACAAGUUAAAAUUUUUUGGAGUUCGAGUCUGUUCCUUGUGGUUCAAAGGUCGAAGGUGAUCGGUUCAACUCUCGUUGCCCCCAUCACUGCUAGGCAAAAGGGUAACUUUCCUUCUUGUCUUAGUAUUCUUAUUUUCUUUAGUUUUGUGUUUCAAGUAAAUUAGUUUAGCUUCAUUUUCGUUUUAGACGUUUAGAUUCCUCUUAAAUGUUUAUUUCAUAUGAUGCAGUUUUUUUAAGUUUGAGUCAGAUGUUUAGGUUCCCUUUCAAUCCUAUUUUCCAGUUCUGUUGUUAUUGAAUUCGCUUAGGUUAGCUUAGUUUGUUUUCGUUUAAUUUAGACAGUAAUUCUCUUCCUCAUCUUUGACUAACUAAGAUUUAUUUCUAAAUGCCUAGUUAGCAGUUAAGAAAUUUCAGAUUACAGCAGUUCCUAUUUUAGCCACUGAGAAAUUGUCUCAAGUGUUGGUUAUAUCUUGAUCUAGCUAAUAAAGUAUGACCUGAAUCCGCUUAGCUGCUCACAUGUUUAAUUUUGUUCACCUAGAAGAGUAACAAAAUAUACUUCUUUGAUUUAGUAAAAAUGUUGGAAGAUAAUUUGAACUUGGAAGUCAGUUUAUGUUCUUAUUUUGUCUAGUAAAGCCUAGUUUGAACUUGUCAUCUUCACUAGCUUAAUAGUAAGUUCCUUCCACUUUUCAGGGUUGAUUUAAGUUUCAAUUAAGGACUUGAAGAGUUGGUUAUUUAUUUUUCCUUCCGUCACUUGGUUUUGAUUUGUCUAUAUUUCUUUAAAUAGUGUCAUUGGUUAGUUUAAAUAGGAACUUGUUGAAUCCAACCAGCUUUUUUCCUUUGUUGCGAGAUUCUGGAAAGUGUGUUGCUAAAGAGUUAGUAUGCCUAAACUACUGGUUGAUGCCCUUUGUUUACAUCAAAUGUGGCUUGGAGGGUUAGCAUUCCCCUAGCUAGUUAACUUAUUCUGACAAAAAUGAUUCUUGAGGACUAUUAUGGACAUGUUUUGGGUACCAAAAAAUAACUUUAGCCAUGUUAAGAAUCGAGAACCUCCCUUAAAGUAAAUACGAUAUUCUACCUCUUAAUCUGUUGUAAAAUCCUUCAUUGAAAUUGGUGUGUGUUUUGUGUGCCAAAGAGUGACAUGUUCCCCUGAAAGUAAGCUAGUGGUGACUUACCUAGUAAUUAAAAACUGCUCAGCCGAUCCAUAACUGAUUUUGCCCUCUGAAUGUGUUUCUUUUAACUCAUCAAAUUGUUUCCUUCUUUCUCCUUCACUAUUCUGCACUUUGUUUUAGGAACUAGUAUGGGGAACUAAGCAUUUUCUAGAUCUAUUUGCCUCUGCCUUACUCUUAAUUUUUGAGUAUGUUAAUCCUUAAGAGGAGUAAUUAGGUAGCCUUCACUGCUUAUCUUUCUCUGUUUCUUUUAGUAAAACAACAAAUCGCCUUGAACUCUCUUUCGUUUGUGGUGUCCCUAGGUGAUGAUAAUUGAUUGUUAUUUCUAGAUACUUAUAUAGAGUCCAAAAGCUUUCAAACGUGUUAAGCAUAACUAGAGGCUG